rnacentral:lncRNA from 1 species
AGGGGUAUAUUUAUAAUAUAACAAUAGUAUUGAUAAUUUAUUGUAAUUUUGUACGAGGAAUUGGUACAAGGGUAUGAUAUUCGACAACAAGGUACGAGAAACUGGUACGAAAGUGUGAUAUAAUUUCAAUCUAUUCGACAACAAGGUACGAGGAAUUGGUACAAGGGUAUGAUAUUCGACAACAAGGUACGAGUAACUGGUACGAAAGUGAUAUAAUGACAAUCUAUUCGACAACAAGGUACGAGGAACUGGUACAAAAGUGUGAUAUAAUUACAAUCUAUUCGACAACAAGGUACGAGGGUAUGAUAUAAUUGCAAUCUAUUCGACAACAGGGUACGAGGAACAGGUAGCCACAC